rnacentral:rRNA from 1 species
AGAGUUUGAUCCUGGCUCAGGAUGAACGCUGGCGGCGUGCCUUAGGCAUGCAAGUCGAACGAGAGAUAUUUUUCCGCAAGAAGGGUUUUCUAGUGGCGGACGGCUGAGUAACACGUAGGAAUUUGCCCCUAAGUGGGGGAUAGCCCCCCGAAAGGUGGGGUAAUACCCCAUAAGCCGAGAGGUAAAAGGCCGUAAGGUCGCUUGGGGAUAAGCCUGCGGCCUAUCAGUUUGUUGGUGGGGUAAAGGCCUACCAAGCCUAUGACGGGUAGCUGAUGUGAGAGCAUGAUCAGCCACAGGGGUACUGAGACACGGACCCUACUCCUACGGGUGGCAGCAACCGGGAAUAUUGCGCAAUGGACGAAAGUCUGACGCAGCGACACCGCGUGUGGGAAGACGCUUUUCGGAGUGUAAACCACUGUGGCGAGGGAUGAAAUUUUGACAGUACCUCGCUAGAAAGCACCAGCUAACUACGUGCCAGAAGCUUCGGUAAUACGUGGGGUGCAAGCGUUAUCCGGAUUUAUUGGGCGUAAAGGGUCCGUCGGCGUUUUCAUUAGUCUUUUGUUUAAGCCUGAGGCUCAACUUCAGAAAGGCAAAAGAUACUGUGAAAAUAGAGUCUGUUUGAGGAAACUAGAAUUCUUGGUGGAGGGGUGAAAUCCGUAGAUAUCAAGAGGAAUACCAUGCGCGAAGGCAGGUUUCUACAACAUGACUGACGCUCAGGGACGAAAGCUUGGGUAGCAAAAGGGAUUAGAGACCCCUGUAGUCCAAGCCGUAAACGAUCUUUGCUAGUUGCUUCGAGUUUACUUGAGUGGCGUAAGCUAACGCGUUAAGCAAAGCGCCUGGGGAGUACGACCGCAAGGUUAAAACUCAAAGGAAUUGACGGGGGAGCGCACAACCGGUGGAGCAUGUGGUUUAAUUCGAUACAAAGCGAAAAACCUUACCCGGACUUGACAUGUACCUGCACGGUUAUGGAAACAUAGCUUUCUUCGAGAGUGGUACACAGGUGAUGCAUGGCUGUCGUCAGCUCGUGUCGUGAGACGUCUACUUAAGUGUAGUAACGAGCGCAACCCUUGUUCUGUGUUAUAAGUGUCACAGAAGACUGCCCUUGUUUUACAAGGGAGGAAGGAGAGGAUGACGUCAAGUCAGCAUGUCCCUUACGUCCGGGGCAACACACAUCCUACAAUGGAGCCGACAACGGGUAGCGAAGGGGUAACCUCGAGCCAAUCCUCUAAACGGCCCCUCAGUUCGGAUUGUGGGCUGCAAUUUGCCCUCAUGAAGUUGGAAUCGCUAGUAAUCGCGAAUCAGCAGGUUGCGGUGAAUACGUUCUCGUUCCUUGUACACACUGCCCGUCAAGCCAGCAAAGUCAGCAGCCCCCGAAGCCGGUUGCCCUAACUAGUUUACUAGAGCGACCCUUCGAAGGCGAGGUUGGCGAUGAGGACUAAGUCGUAACAAGGUAGCCG